ensembl:misc_RNA 7SK 7SK RNA
GGGCUGGGCAGUGUCUCCUCCUUCCUCCCUCACUGCUCCCUGUGUGUCCUCCCAAAGCUGCAGGCUCGGGUUGGGGAAGAGGACCACCUCCUGGUCAAGGGUAUACGAAUAGCUGCACUGCUCCUAACAAGCUCUCCAAGUGACCUGGAAGCCGGGCAUCAUUGCAUUGCUUAACAGCAGCACAGAUUAUAUGAGAUACAUUUUUGACUGC